UACGUAGAGUGCAAGCGGUUGUCCGGAAUUAGUUGGGCGUAAAGGGUACGUAGGGCGGAUAAGUAAAGUCAAGCGUGAAAGGUGUCGGCUUAACCGACAGACUGCGUUUGAAACUGAUUAUCUUGAGUGUAACAGAGGAGAGUGGAAUUCCUAGUGUAGUGGUGAAAUACGUAGAUAUUAGGAAGAACACCAGUUGGCGAAGGCGACUCUCUGGGUUAACACUGACGCUGAGGUACGAAAGCUGGGGGAGCGAACGGGAUUAGAUACCUCUGUAGU
rnacentral:rRNA from 1 species